rnacentral:rRNA from 1 species
UGAACGCUGGCGGCAUGGCUAAACAUGCAAGUCGAACGCGAACGGGGCCUUCGGCCCUUAUUAGAGUGGCGAAGGUGAGUAAUGCGUAUCUAACGUGCCUUGAGGUCAGGAUAGCAUCGGGAAACCGUUGGUAAUACCUGAUGAUCCCGGUCGGCCGUAUGGUCAACCGGGCAAAGGCUUGCUGCCUUAAGAUCGGGAUACGUGGUAUCAGCUUGUUGGUGAGGUAACGGCUCACCAAGGCUAAGACGCCUAGCGGGUGUGAGAGCAUGACCCGCCACAUCGGGACUGAGACACUGCCCGGACUCCUACGGGAGGCUGCAGUAACGAAUAUUCCACAAUGCGCGAAAGCGUGAUGGAGCAAUGCCGCGUGAAGGAUGAAGCAUCUAGGUGUGUAAACUUCUGUCAGGGUUUAGGAAUUCAUGACCAGACCCAGAGGAAGAGCCGGCUAACUCUGUGCCAGCAGCCGCGGUAAUACAGAGGGCUCGAGCGUUAAUCGGAAUCACUGGGCUUAAAGGGUGCGUAGGCGGACGGGUAGUAUCUUGUGAAAUCCCAGGGGCUCAACCCUGGAAUUGCUCGGUAGACUGCCGUCUGAGCCGAACAGGGGUCGUCAAGAACGCUAGUGGAGCCGUGAAAUGCGUAGAUAUCUAGCGGAAUU